rnacentral:rRNA from 1 species
UACGUAGGGUGCAAGCGUUGUCCGGAAUUACUGGGCGUAAAGAGUUCGUAGGCGGUUUGUCGCGUCGUUUGUGAAAACCAGCAGCUCAACUGCUGGCUUGCAGGCGAUACGGGCAGACUUGAGUACUGCAGGGGAGACUGGAAUUCCUGGUGUAGCGGUGAAAUGCGCAGAUAUCAGGAGGAACACCGGUGGCGAAGGCGGGUCUCUGGGCAGUAACUGACGCCGAGGAACGAAAGCGUGGGUAGCGAACAGG